rnacentral:tRNA from 1 species
GGAAGUGUGCCCGAGUAUAAGGACUACUUUGAUAAAGUAAACACAGAAAUAAACCUCUCUCUUCCCA